GUCUACCCACAAGACUUCCCAUUAGCCCCGCCGGAGACCGCGUCACCGGCGGGGCUUAUUGU
rnacentral:sRNA from 1 species